rnacentral:rRNA from 1 species
AGUGAACGCUGGCGGCGUGCUUAACACAUGCAAGUCGAACGAGAACGGGUUAUAGCUUGCUAUAAUUGUCAGCUAAGUGGCGCACGGGUGAGUAAUGUAUAGGUAAUAUGCCUCUUACUAAGGGAUAACAACUGGAAACGUUUGCUAAUACCUUAUACUCCUUAUUAACAGAAGUUAAUAAGGGAAAGAUUUAUUGGUAAGAGAUUAGCCUGUAUUGUAUCAGUUAGUUGGUGGGGUAAUGGCUUACCAAGACCAUGACACAUAACUGGUUUGAGAGGAUGAUCAGUCACACUGGAACUGAGACACGGUCCAGACUCCUACGGGAGGCAGCAGUGGGGAAUAUUGCACAAUGGACGAAAGUCUGAUGCAGCAACGCCGCGUGGAGGAUGACACAUUUCGGUGCGUAAACUCCUUUUAUAUGAGAAGAUAAUGACGGUAUUAUAUGAAUAAGCACCGGCUAACUCCGUGCCAGCCGCCGCGGUAAAAC